rnacentral:rRNA from 1 species
GAUGAACGCUGGCGGCGUGCCUCAAACAUGCAAGUCGAGCGGGGCUAUGUAAUAUCGCAAGGUAGAACAUAGCCUAGCGGCGAACGGGUGAGUAACACGUGGGUAACCUGCCUGGAAGACAGGGAUAACGAUUCGAAAGGGUCGCUAAUACCUGAUAAUAUCCUUUCAUCGCAUGGUGAUAGGAAGAAAGGGGAAACCCGCUUUCAGAUGGGCCCGCGUCCCAUCAGCUAGUUGGUAAGGUAAAGGCUUACCAAGGCGACGACGGGUAGCCGGUCUGAGAGGAUGUACGGCCACACUGGGACUGAGAUACGGCCCAGACUCCUACGGGAGGCAGCAGUGGGGAAUUUUGGACAAUGGGCGAAAGCCUGAUCCAGCCAUGCCGCGUGCAGGAAGAAGGCCUCGGUUGUAACUAGCUUAGUCUAGAAAAGGGUAGGCGAGGUAAGUACCUCGUGCUUGUAUGGUACUGGAAGAAUAAGACACCGGCGUAACUAACGUGCCAGCAGCCGCCGGU